rnacentral:rRNA from 1 species
UGCCAGCAGCCGCGGUAAUACGGAGGGGGCAAGCGUUGUUCGGAAUUAUUGGGCGUAAAGCGUAUGUAGGCGGCUAAGCAAGUCAGGCGUGCAAGCCCGUGGCUCAACCACGGAAUUGCGUUUGAAACUGCUUAGCUUGAGUACAGGAGAGGAAAGCGGAAUUCCCAGUGUAGCGGUGAAAUGCAUUGAUAUUGGGAAGAACAUCUGUGGCGAAGGCGGCUUUCUGGUCUGUUACUGACGCUGAGAUACGAAAGCCAGGGGAGCGAACGGGAUUAGAUA